rnacentral:rRNA from 1 species
CGGAGGGGCUAGCGUUGUUCGGAAUUACUGGGCGUAAAGCGCACGUAGGCGGAUCAGCCAGUCAGGGGUGAAAUCCAGGGGCUCAACCCCGGAACUGCCCUUGAUACUGCUGGUCUGGAGUUCGAGAGAGGCGAGUGGAAUUCCGAGUGUAGAGGUGAAAUUCGUAGAUAUUCGGAGGAACACCAGUGGCGAAGGCGGCUCGCUGGCUCGACACUGACGCUGAGGUGCGAAAGCGUGGGGAGCAAACAGGAUUAGAUACCCU